AUUGAACGCUGGCGGCAGGCUUAACACAUGCAAGUCGAGCGGGGGAAGGUAGCUUGCUACCGGACCUAGCGGCGGACGGGUGAGUAAUGCUUAGGAAUCUGCCUAUUAGUGGGGGACAACAUCUCGAAAGGGAUGCUAAUACCGCAUACGUCCUACGGGAGAAAGCAGGGGAUCUUCGGACCUUGCGCUAAUAGAUGAGCCUAAGUCGGAUUAGCUAGUUGGUGGGGUAAAGGCCUACCAAGGCGACGAUCUGUAGCGGGUCUGAGAGGAUGGUCCGCCAAACUGGGACUGAGACACGGCCCAGACUCCUACGGGAGGCAGCAGUGGGGAAUAUUGGACAAUGGGGGGAACCCUGAUCCAGCCAUGCCGCGUGUGUGAAGAAGGCCUUAUGGUUGUAAAGCACUUUAAGCGAGGAGGAGGCUACUUUAGUUAAUACCUAGAGAUAGUGGACGUUACUCGCAGAAUAAGCACCGGCUAACUCUGUGCCAGCAGCCGCGGUAA
rnacentral:rRNA from 1 species